rnacentral:lncRNA from 1 species
GCUUGGGCCCCGCCCGGCCUCCCCCUCCCGCUCCUCGGGGGCUCGUUUUUCCGGCUCUCCGCGGCCGGACAGCCGGCGGGGAAGGCCCGGCGUCCUGGGGAGGAGGCGGCCAGCCCUGGGGCCACCAAGCCUGGCCUCCUGCGGGACGAGCACUGUGUUCCCAUCCCUUCCCCGGAGCCGCUCGGGAGACGGCCGGUCACUCCAAAAUGUACCUUUGGUGGCCCAGCUGUUGGCAAGAAAUAGCACAGUGCUCCGGACUCGGCAGCCACGAAAGUCUCGCUCUGCGUAUUUUGGCAGAAAUAUGAUUCAGAGCACAGGGUUCUGGUUCUGUGGCCUACCCCGGAGACCACAGUUCCCCCUUCUGCUUCUCUUGAGGGUGACCUGCCACGCUGUCGUGGGUUGCCUUUUACAAUCUGCUGCAGAAGGAAGUGUCGACCUUCUGCCACUUUCCAGUAACAAGUCCAACCACGUUCAGGGCUACUGUGAAACAGAAGCUAAAUUGGCCCUCUCUCUCGACUUUUGGACUCUCUCCUCUGAAAAUCUAAUAGGUAUAGUUUGACAUCUUGCUCACAUCUGGAUAUAUCGAGUCCCGCGCUUGCGGGUACUGAGGCUGCAUACUUUUAAAACAUAUUUGGUAAUGUCAAAAUUUACUUGUAUCCAGCUCAGGAAGUACUGAGAAUGCACGGGACUGGGGCCUAAAGAUCUACUUUCCUUAGCUCUAUUGUCAGAUCUGUUCUGCUGUUGAGGCAGCAUGUUAAUAACAGAAAUCUGAUACAAUUAAACAUUCAAACACAGCGUCAAAAGAGAAAGUGUAAGCAUCCAGGAUACUAAAAAGAAAUGCUUUCCUCAAAGUUCACUGUUGGGAAGAAAUAGACCAGUAAAAUAGGUAAUUGCAAUUCUCUGAUAUGUAUUUUUUUUUUCUUACUCUGAAAAACACUUGCAUGAAAGAGUGUAAUAGCCCUAGAGCUGAGCACAUUAAUUUUAUAUUUAUCUUAAAAGUAAAAAAAAAAUUACUGAAUAAAAAUAUUAUAGAAAGGAACCUAUCAAAAUAAACCAAUUUUGUCUCAUUUUUCCCCAGUCUUGAAGAAUAGUAUAUAAAAACAUGUAAAGUGCUUUACAAGUAAAAAUUGUUAAUAUGCACAUAUGGCUUAUCUUGAUGGAGAUUAAGUUUAUGUUAAACAUCCGACAGGCAUAAUUUACCAAAGUCAAGUGUAGUUUCACAUGCUUUUAUUGUACUUGGAAAUCCUUUAUUAAUAUACUAUCAUUUGCCCUUUUUUACAGAUAAGGAAAGUUGCAGAGGAAUUAAACUACUGUUGGCAAGUGUAGUACUCCACAAUUCUGCCAGGCCAUUUGCAUUUAGAGAUUGCUUGGCCAGAUUAUAACAAAAGUCCUCGCUAUUAAGAUGUUGUAAUACCGCAAGUCUAAGUAAGGAAAACAGUUAUAAUUCAUUAAGGCUUCCAACAUUAUUGUAUGGCUCAACUCUUGAGGAACAACCACCUACCAAUAGGACAUGUAGAAUUCAAAGGUAGUUCUGGUAGUUCUUUUGGCCCAACUAAGCCAACCAUCAGUUUUGGUGGUCAAAAACUGAGCUGUGCAGGUAACUGCUAAAGAACAGACUUACAUUGUGCAGAAAUAAUUUCUGUUUUUUGUUUGUUUGUUUGUUUUGUUUUUUUAACUGAGGCAAAUGAAACUACCAGUACUUAUGGAUAAAAAUGGAUGAAGUGUUUCGUUGAAAGUAUUUUCAAAGUUGUCAUUUCAAUGUUGGAACAUUGGCUACACUUCAAGUCAUUUUCUUGCCAUAUUAAUGGCACUGUUCAAAACAUUACCUAAGGCAGGUUUUAUGACAAGGAGGGAUUAUAAACAUAAUACUGUGUGUUACCAUUUUUUUUGUUUUGUUUUGUUUGGUUUGGUUUGGUACCAGGGAUUGAACUCAGGGGGACUUAACCACUGAGCCACAUUUCCAGCCCUUUCUUGUAUUUUGUUUAGAGACAGGGUCUCCCUGAGUUGCUUCAUGCCUCACUAAAUUGCUGAGGCUGACUUUGAGAUCCUCCUGCCGUAGCGUCCCAAGCUGCUGGGAUUAUAGGCGGGUACCAUGUUGCCCAGCUGUUACCAUGUUUUGAUAUAUAGUACUGCAUAAAACAUCUCUUCCAGAUGUUAUUAGAUAAAAGAUCAAUGGACUAUCAACAUGAUUCUGGCAAGAGUAUUUAUUGAGAGAAAAAGUUCAAACAGUUUCACUGAAAGAUUAGCAGAUUGUUUUCCUCUGUGCCAGGUCCAAACCCAGAGCCUCUGCAUGCUAGGCAAGUGCUGUACCAUCCCCAGCCCUUCUCUGAGAUUUUCAGUAUGACAGAUUAUUCUAUUUAAGUGUCACAGAGUGAGAGAUCAGACUUCACUGUUCUAUGGCCAGUGGUCACCUUGUCAAAAUGUGCUCUAUUUGGUACAUAUCAUAACUGCUAAUAGAUCAUUAUAUGUUGCUCAUGCUUUAUUAAUAUGUUAAUGCAUCAUAAAGGAGAGUGCAUUAAUUAUAUGAUUUAGUCAAUUCACACUCAGGUUCUUCUGAAGGAAGAAAAUAGACUGUUGAAUUUUCUACUCUUGAUUGUCAGGUUUUCUGAGAUUAUCUGUUUUUUUUGUGCGUGUUGGGGAUUGAGCUACAUCUCAGCUCCAAAUCAACUAUUUUUUGGUUAACUGCCACUUGCUCCCCCAUAAGUCAACAUGUACUUAAAGAAAAAAUAUAAAGAACUAACUCUGGGCCCUAUUUUCCUGACUUUAUUGCUCAUGUGAGGAAGACAGAAACAUUAUUACUCUUAUUGUUGUUACAAGAAGCAUGUACUUCAGCUAGGCUUGGAUGGAAUAAAUUGGAGUUAUUCCAAACAGUUGAGCAAAUUGUUCUUACACCACUCUUCUCUACUGAUUUGAAGUAUCCUUUUCUCUAUAUAAGAAAUCCUUUUUAUUCUGUUCACUUUUUUAAAAUUUGUAUAUAGGUAAUUCUAUUAUAACAUUUUCUCUAUAUAGGAAAUUCUGUUAUAACUUUGGGUUGUUUUUGUGCUUUUUAUUUGAGUUCCAUUGAUCUUUGUUUUUAUUUUUUGGACAAAAAUACUUUUAGAAUUAAAAAAAAUUUUUUUUUUAGUUGUAGAUGGACAAAAUACCUUUAUGUAUUUAUUUCUAUAUGGUGCUGAGGAUUGAACUCACAUGCAAGGCAAGCGCUCUACCACUGAGCUAUGGCCCCAGCCCUAGAAUAUUUAAUAUGAUAAGCAAACUAAUUUCUCUUACUUAAAAACAUCUCUCCUGUUUCUUUUUCCAGGUUUGCAAUUUAUCUGCUUCUUCUUCUUAUUCUUCAAAAAAAAACUCCUACUAUAAUUUUUAUUAGAUUCCUAUUUGUUUAUUAAAUAAUUUGGUGACACAUUUUGACUAUAAGCUCUAUCUGGAAACAUUGAUUUUUGUGCCCCUUAGUCUGAUUGAUUAAUUGAUUGAUUGAUUUAUUUCAUUGUGGUACUGGAGAUUGAAUCCAGGGCCUGGUACAUGCUAGACAAGUAAUGUACUGCUGAGCUAUACCCCCUUUUCUUAUGACUUUAUUAACAUGCUAACUCUCUUCUUCUAUUUUUUGUUUUAAUUGCUUUGGAUUAGGAAAACAGAUGAAGAAUUUAAGAAUUUUUCUAAAACAAGAAUAAAUACAUUCUUGAGUAUCCAAAGCAAGUUCAAAGCUCUCUUCCUUCACAGCUUCUUAAGUGUAGUACAUGUGCUUUACUGCAUGAACUUUAUGAAACAGUUUGUCAGUUGCUUUUAGGAGCAAUUUUAAACUUUUAUCCUUCUGAGCAGGCAUGAAUCAAAUGUUUCAGGGUUUAUAGUGGGAUCCAGAGCAAGUUUGUACAUUUAGUAAACCAUGUGUUGCCUGAUAUAUAUAUAUGUGUGUGUGUGUGUGUGUGUGUGUGUGUUUCUUUUGAUUAUUGUGAGUUUCCUAAGGACAGAAUUCAUAUGAUUAAGUGUAUAAUAUAUUUUGGUUAUUUUGAGUUGACUAAUGUAGUAAUGCCACUCACCUUCAUUUUAUUUAUUUUUAUUACUUAUAAACAUGUUGUACAUCCUUCUUGUCUCCCAAAAUGAAAAUCUUUAUAGACUGUCUAGAAUAUGUGUCUUGUUUUAAACAUUUUCCACUUCCCAUCUUCUUGGACAGAUCCAUAUAUAGGUUGAGCAUCCCUUAUCUGAAAUGUUUGGGACUAGGAGUAGUUCAGAUUUUAUAAUUUUUUUCAGCUCUUAGAAUGUUUGCAUGUUCAUGAUGAAAUACCUUUGGGAUGGGACCCAAAUCUAAAUGCAAAAUUCAUUUAUGUUUCAUAUGCCCUCAUACGUGUUGUCUGAGACAAUUCUAUAAAUAUUUUUAGUGUGCCUGCAUUUUAAUUGUGACUGUCACAUGAGAUCAGAUCUGGAAUCAUCUUGUAGCAUCAUGUAGGUGCUCAGAAAGUUUAGGAUUUUGGAUCUUCAGAUUAGGGAUGCUUACCCUGUACAUAACGAGAAUAUUGGAUAAUGUUGAAAAUGAUAAAAUAGUCUUCUGAAUAAAAAUAUGAAGAAAAUAGUGGUUUAAGUAGGCAUUUUGAAGAACCAUAGUUUUUCAAAAGAAUAUUAAUGCUGUAUAUGCAACAAAUGAGAACAAUAAGAAGGGUUUUGUUUUGUUUUGUUUUGAUAGCUGUGUUGCCAGUUGAUCCUGUUCAGGAAAAUUAUGUUCGUAAAGUGAAAAACUGUAUUUUUUCAAUUGCCUUCCCUACUCCUUUCAAAUCAAGAGUACUUCUUGCAGCAGUCUCAAAGGUUAGGCUUUAUUUUUGUCUUACCACAAAUACUUAGCUCACUAAAACAUUUGUCUAAGAAAGUCUAAAAAUUGUUCCGAGUUUUUAUUGUUAAUCUAUUGAUAACUUUUUAUAUUUAAAGCUCAGAAACCUGGAAAACAUCAUUCUUAGAGCUCACUUUUCAAUACUUGUUCCUGGAGCAUAGUAUUCAGCUUCAUCCUGAAGUUAUCUUACAAGAAAGAUAUGCGUUUGUGGAAAAGAGGAAAAUGAGUUAAAUUUUUAUUCUACAUAACUUUUAGAAAUUAUCUCUAAUAACAAAUUCUAAAUUGUUCUCUCAUGAUACAAAUGUAUUUGAUAUCAAAAUAGGGCAUUUACUUUUUUCUAGUUCUUUGAAAGAAUACGUGCUAGGAAAAAUAUUAUUUUUUUGAUGCAUCACAGGAAAUCCAUGAAAAUUUUAGAACUGUCUCAUAGAACUAAUUUUCUGCAAAUAGCAUAAAUAAUCAUAGAAAGUCUGGUAUAUCUCUUAUAAAAUGUAAUGUAUUUUUAGAAGAAGUCUAUUCUUGUAAUUUUCUUCUAUUAGGUCUCUUUUCUUAAAAAUUAUUCAAAGAUUACUUAGGUUUGUAAGAAGACUUUUUUUCUCUGCCUCAGGAAGUUC